rnacentral:lncRNA from 1 species
GGCCAAUAGUAGUUAUGUUCUAUGAGAGCUUGGGUCCGAUGCACCCCCUGGUGUCCCGCCCACAUAGAAUCAUGGUGUUCUCGCAACACCUGGCGCCUCAGGCCUCCACCUGAAGGCACAUAGACACGUCACCCUCGUGUCAAAAUCAGCCCUCCUUCGGUCCAGAAACAGCGCGCCUUGCCGUCUUUGAUGAGUUCACCCAUGGAAGUGGCCCAUGGAUCCUUCUCCAUCUCGAUCUUGG